UUUGCCAUGACCUAGAGAGAGGAUAGAGAGAGAGAGAGAGAGUGGCAAGCUAGAAAGAGAGGAGGAAAAGGCUGCCAUUUUCUAGAGAGAAGGAAGAGGAGAAAAAGAAAAAAAAAGAAGAUAAGGAGAAGAAGAAGAGGGUUUCGAAACCCUAGAUCCCCUAUAGGUGACAAGGUUUUUCUUGCUAAGAGUAUUCUUGAUUCAACAAUCAAGAUAGGCUCGUUGAGAAGUUGAGAAUUUACUUAGCUUGGACCUGAGGUAGCAAAUAGGUUUCUCCAUGGCACGCGUGGUGAUGUGGGAAGUUCUAUCGUCCUGGUGUGUAUGGCGUGGGGCAUCCUAUGGACGAAAAACAAUCACUUAAAGAUGCUAUUUUAAUAAUGUUAUGUUUCAUGAGACUUUUUAAACUAAUCAUUGGGACUUAAAUUAUUGGUUUUUUUUUUUUUUGGAACUUUGCAUAAAAACUCAUAUUUUCUUUUAAAACUAUUGGGCCCAACUUUCAUGUUUUUAAGCAAG